rnacentral:lncRNA from 1 species
ACUGUCCACUCUCUCAUAUCAAUACGGUAACAAUCACGACAUCAAUUUCAGUACCCUGUGUAAUUCACAAACACACAAGCACAACCCAAACCCUGGAACAAAUAACUUCCAAUCCACAGAAUCUGAUCAAGAUAAUUCCUUCAAUUACAAUUCCUCUCCACUGAACUUACAACCUUGCAAUAAACAGUGACUGGAAACUUCCAUACAUCCUCAAUCUUUCACAACAAUUAAUAAACAAUGAUCCAACUUACAAAUUAUAAGAAAACGUCCAAAAAACUAUAUUGAUAUUACUUGACUGUCAAUUUAAAAGUUAACGUACAUGUUCUAGUAGCAAUUUCUCCUUCUUCAAUUAUUGAUUUCAAUUCA